ACACGACCGUACCGCAAACCGACACUGGUGCGCGAGAUGAGUAUUCUAAGGCGCUUGAGAGAACUCAGGAGAAGGAACUCGGCAAAUUGACACCGUAACUUCGGAAGAAGGUGUGCCUUUAGUAGGUGAAGUCCCUCGCGGAUGGAGCCCAAUGAGGUUGCAAAGAAUCGGUGGCUGCGACUGUUUAUUAAAAACACAGCACUCUGCAAACACGAAAGUGGACGUAUAGGGUGUGACGCCUGCCCGGUGCUGGAAGAUUAAAUGAUGGGGUGCAAGCUCUUGAUUGAAGUCCCAGUAAACGGCGGCCGUAACUAUAACGGUCCUAAGGUAGCGAAAUUCCUUGUCGGGUAAGUUCCGACCUGCACGAAUGGCGUAACGAUGGCCACACUGUCUCCUCCUGAGACUCAGCGAAGUUGAAAUGUUUGUGAUGAUGCAAUCUCCCCGCGGAAAGACGGAAAGACCCCAUGAACCUUUACUGUAGCUUUGUAUUGGACUUUGAACAGAUCUGUGUAGGAUAGGUGGGAGGCUUUGAAGCAGGGUCGCUAGAUCUUGUGGAGCCAACGUUGAAAUACCACCCUGGUGUGUUUGAGGUUCUAACCUAGGCCCGUAAUCCGGGUUGGGGACAGUGCAUGGUAGGCAGUUUGACUGGGGCGGUCUCCUCCCAAAGUGUAACGGAGGAGUUCGAAGGUACGCUAGUUACGGUCGGACAUCGUGACGAUAGUGCAAUGGCAUAAGCGUGCUUAACUGCGAGACUGACAAGUCGAGCAGAUGCGAAAGCAGGACAUAGUGAUCCGGUGGUUCUGUAUGGAAGGGCCAUCGCUCAACGGAUAAAAGGUACUCUGGGGAUAACAGGCUGAUACCGCCCAAGAGUUCAUAUCGACGGCGGUGUUUGGCACCUCGAUGUCGGCUCAUCUCAUCCUGGGGCUGUAGCCGGUCCCAAGGGUAUGGCUGUUCGCCAUUUAAAGAGGUACGUGAGCUGGGUUUAAAACGUCGUGAGACAGUUUGGUCCCUAUCUUCCGUGGGCGCUGCAGAUUUGAGGAAGCCUGCUCCUAGUACGAGAGGACCGGAGUGGACGCACCUCUGGUGUAUCGGUUGUCACGCCAGUGGCAUUGCCGAGUAGCUAUGUGCGGAAGAGAUAACCGCUGAAAGCAUCUAAGCGGGAAACUCGUUUCAAGAUGAGAUCUGCCGGGGCCUUGAGCCCCCUGAAGAGUCGUUCAAGACCAGGACGUUGAUAGGUCGGGUGUGGAAGCGCAGUAAUGCGUUAAGCUAACCGAUACUAAUUGCUCGUGCGGCUUGACCCU
rnacentral:rRNA from 1 species